rnacentral:lncRNA from 1 species
UUUUUUACUGUUCAGUCCCCAAAAAAGAAAGAAAAAAAAAUUAUUGAUUUCAUCUCAAACAAACCAACUUACUUAGCUGACAUCUUUAGUCUAAAAAAAAUUGCUUGGUCUAGUUUUAAAAACUGAUCAAGUUGGUUUCAUUUUUUUUUCUUGGUUAGUCCAAAAACAAUAAAUCAUAUUAUUGGUUUUAUCCCGUAAAACCCAACUUAUUUAGUUAACAUCUUUAGCGACUUACUUUUUUUUUUGGGUUUAGUUCAAUAAAAGAAAAGCAAAUUAUAAGUUUUAUCCCAAACAAUCCAACUUAUUUGGCAGACGCGUAUUGUUAAAGUAACUAAAAUUCACAACUUAUAUUCAAUGGUUAUAAGUUAUGUCGUGUCAUAUGGUAAAUCAAAAUAGUAAAAAAAAUGGCACCCGUAAUAUUUUUGAAACUUUUUUUUUUUAAAAAAAAGAAAGAAAAGUCAGUCCAAGUCGAAAGUCCAACGUUUGGUUCUGGGCAAGAAUGACCAGGUCUUUGUGUGGUUAAGGUGCACUUAACCUCGCCAUACGGCUUUUGACAUCGACCCAAAUAACAAAAUACUAUUAACAUCGCGCGUGAGCGUGCGCAC